GAAGUAAGAGGAUCUGUACAGUUGGAAGGGACUUCUCUUUGGGAAGCUCACCAGAGAGGCUGACCUGAACAGAUCUCUGAGCAGGCACAAUCCUCCUGUGACUUCUGACCCAGCAUCCAGUGAAAACAGCAGGAAGCAGAAGGAAGCCGCACAAGACCAAGGGCUAUUUUUCUAUUUCAUAAAUUGUUAUGGUAAUUAACUCAUUGCCACAUGGCCAGUCUGCAGGAAAAUGGCUGGCUCAAAAAAGGACAUGGCUGCUCCAAAAGAGCCAGAGGCAAGAGCAUCCCUGAGGGCAGCUGCCUUGGACAUCAAAAAACGAAGCCAAGUCAGAUGGGUAACAGCACCUUCUGGAUGAAUCCAAGCAGGAGGAUCUCUCAAGUAUAGUAAAACUAUGUGUUAAGGUAUUGAACUUUGGAGAGGACAUAGACAACUAGUAGCACAGGAUGGGUUAGCAUCCUAGGACAGCAAGAUGAGGUGGCUAUGAUUUAAAUGUCUGGGGGAAAUUUCCAAAACUAUGAGAUCACUGAUGCAUGUGAUUUAAGGUGGCUUAUUGCAGUGACUCAGAUAUGCCAUAAAUUACAUUAUCUACCCCCAAUCAAGUCUAAUUCACAAAAACUAGAUUGAUGUUAAGUAAUAUGGUUAGUUUGUCCCUUGUAAAGCAGUCACACUAUUAUAUUAUCUUACAAGGCAAAUGAUAUAAUAAAGUUAAAGGAUUAAAGGAAUGUAAA